UAACCUGCAGGUAACCAUGAUUGCACGAUUGCACUAAUAAAAUUACAAGUAUUCUUCAAAUAAUCUGUACAGUCAGAAGUACUUCUUACAUAUUUUAACAAUAACACGUUUAUAUUACUAUUAAACAAUCGCAAAUAUUCGGUAGACACUCGCGUAGUGAGUUUUCUAUCUCUACAACACCAUAAUCAACACGGGUCACGGUCGGACUAGAGGUAUCAUGGAAACGAAUCCAAUAUCUUUGACUGACAAGAUCAACAAAUUAGGCUCUGAUGAUUGUCAUAACCAAGUGAUUUGUGAAGAGAAAACUUUCAAUGGGGUAGAGAUAACAAAACUAAGCAAAUCUCAAAUGAAAAAAUAUCAAAAAAUGCUUCGAUGGCAAGCACGAAAAGCUGAUAAAAGAGCGAAAGAGCGAGAAAAGCUGAGAAAAAGGAAAAUUGAAGCAAAAAUAAACAAUAUUUCAUUAGGCCCAAGUAGAAAAGAAUUGAAAAGGAAGAAAAUGAUUGACAGCAAUUGUAAAAUUUCAGUGGUUAUAGAUUUGAGUUUUGAUGAUUUAAUGAUACCCAAGGAUUUAGCAAAACUGAUAAAACAAGUAUUACGGGUGUAUACUGAAAAUCGAAGGGCAACCAAUCCUAUGCAGUUGUAUGUAACUAAUUUCAAUGGCAAAUCUAAAACUGAAAUGGAAAAACAUAAUGGUUAUGAAAAUUGGGAUAUCAAUUUUUGUGAAGAAAGUUAUAUAAAUAUAUUUCCUAUUGAAAACCUAAUUUAUCUUACCAGUGAAAGCGACAAUAUAAUUGAAAAACUAGAUCACAAUAAGGUUUAUGUAAUUGGUGGCUUAGUUGACCAUAAUGCACAUAAGGGUUUGUGUUAUAGAAAAGCAGUUAAAGAAGGAAUAGCUCAUGGACAGCUACCAAUUUCAAAUUUUUUUUCUAUAAAGUAUAGAAAGGUGUUUACUAUAAAUCAAGUUUUUGAAAUUAUUCUUAGAGUAAGCGAGGGAAAAACAUUUAAAGAAGCAUUUGAAACAGUUCUUCCAAAACGAAUAAACAUGGAGCCCAACAAAUAAUUUGAGUAUUUGUGGAAUUGUGAUAUUUGAGAAAUAUUUAGUUGCAUUUAUCUGGUUUAAAUUGAAAAAAUACAAUAACUGAUAAAUGAACGACAAAUGGAUUAUGGAAGUUUAACUCUUAUUAGAACUGCACUUAUAAUGCGACUGGCAACAUCUAUACUUCCGGGAAUUCCCCGUUUAUGACCAUGCGGUGCUAACUCUCCUGUCAAAAAUAGUGCAGACUAGACCUGGCAGAUGGCGGUGUUGCAGCGUUUAAAAAUUUUGUAAAAUGGGUUGCAUAAGAAAAAUAGCAUACGAUCAUAAAAAAUACUAUUUAUUUAAGUAUACAGGCUCACGCCUUUUACAAUUUUUACAUAAGAGAUUUAAACUAAUCGAGUAAUGAGAUAAAGUAUAGAUAUACUAAGUUAUUUGGUGGCGUUCUAGAGAAUAAACACUUUCUUCCGGAUGUCGGUUUUAAAUUCUUUUAUCGGGCUAUUCAGUAGCGAGUUUUUUUAUAUUUAGAUCAAGAUCAUUAAAUUGUUUGCUUAUGCCCGUUUGCACCGACGUUUUACUACGGCAGACUUAACAAAGUACUGCUUAAGCAUAAGUCUUACUUAACUUCCAAUUCGUUUGCACCGUACGCUGUCUACCUGCAACUUAAUAAUUUGUAGGGUUUUUUGUGCAGAAUGGUCAAGAAGUUUCAAAUUGAUUGUGGCCGUUAAGUAACGUCUGGUGUCGUGAAGUGUUGUUUGCCGCCUUUUUCUGCUGUUAUACGUUUUUGUUUUUGUAAUUAUUUGUGUUUUGUU
rnacentral:misc_RNA from 1 species